AGUGAACGCUGGCGGUAGGCCUAACACAUGCAAGUCGAACGGCAGCACAGUAAGAGCUUGCUCUUACGGGUGGCGAGUGGCGGACGGGUGAGGAAUACAUCGGAAUCUACUUUUUCGUGGGGGAUAACGUAGGGAAACUUACGCUAAUACCGCAUACGACCUACGGGUGAAAGCAUGGGAUCUUCUGACUUUGCGCGAUUGAAUGAGCCGAUGUAAGAUUAGCUAGUUCGCGGGGUAAAGUCCCACCAAGGGGACGAUCCAUAGCUGGUCUGAGGGGAUCAUAGGCGACACUUGAACUGAGACCCGAUCCAGUCUCCAACGGGCGGCAGCCAUGAGCAGUAGUGAUCACAGGGGGCAAAGCUGAACCAGCCAUACCGCGUGCGUGAAGAAGGCCUUCGGAUUGUAAAGCCUUUUAGUUGGGAAAAAAAAGCAGCAGCUGAAUAACCCGCUAUUGUGACGGUACCCAAAAAAUAAGCAACGGCUAACUUCGUG
rnacentral:rRNA from 1 species